rnacentral:rRNA from 2 species
CUUGCUCCUUUGACGUUAGCGGCGGACGGGUGAGUAACACGUGGGUAACCUACCUAUAAGACUGGGAUAACUUCGGGAAACCGGAGCUAAUACCGGAUAAUAUUUCGAACCGCAUGGUUCGAUAGUGAAAGAUGGUUUUGCUAUCACUUAUAGAUGGACCCGCGCCGUAUUAGCUAGUUGGUAAGGUAACGGCUUACCAAGGCGACGAUACGUAGCCGACCUGAGAGGGUGAUCGGCCACACUGGAACUGAGACACGGUCCAGACUCCUACGGGAGGCAGCAGUAGGGAAUCUUCCGCAAUGGGCGAAAGCCUGACGGAGCAACGCCGCGUGAGUGAUGAAGGUCUUCGGAUCGUAAAACUCUGUUAUUAGGGAAGAACAUACGUGUAAGUAACUAUGCACGUCUUGACGGUACCUAAUCAGAAAGCCACGGCUAACUACGUGCCAGCAGCCGCGGUAAUACGUAGGUGGCAAGCGUUAUCCGGAAUUAUUGGGCGUAAAGCGCGCGUAGGCGGUUUUUUAAGUCUGAUGUGAAAGCCCACGGCUCAACCGUGGAGGGUCAUUGGAAACUGGAAAACUUGAGUGCAGAAGAGGAAAGUGGAAUUCCAUGUGUAGCGGUGAAAUGCGCAGAGAUAUGGAGGAACACCAGUGGCGAAGGCGACUUUCUGGUCUGUAACUGACGCUGAUGUGCGAAAGCGUGGGGAUCAAACAGGAUUAGAUACCCUGGUAGUCCACGCCGUAAACGAUGAGUGCUAAGUGUUAGGGGGUUUCCGCCCCUUAGUGCUGCAGCUAACGCAUAA